UAUGAAGGGGGCUAGCGUUGCUCGGAAUCACUGGGCGUAAAGGGUGCGUAGGCGGGUUUUUAAGUCAGAGGUGAAAUCCUGGAGCUCAACUCCAGAACUGCCUUUGAUACUGAAGAUCUUGAGUUCGGGAGAGGUGAGUGGAACUGCGAGUGUAGAGGUGAAAUUCGUAGAUAUUCGCAAGAACACCAGUGGCGAAGGCGGCUCACUGGCCCGAUACUGACGCUGAGGCACGAAAGCGUGGGGGAGCAAACAGG
rnacentral:rRNA from 1 species